CACACUGGACUGAGACACGGUCCAGACUCCUACGGGAGGCAGCAGUGGGGAAUAUUGCACAAUGGGCGCAAGCCUGAUGCAGCCAUGCCGCGUGUGUGAAGAAGGCCUUCGGGUUGUAAAGCACUUUCAGUCGUGAGGAAGGUGGUGUAGUUAAUAGCUGCAUCAUUUGACGUUAGCGACAGAAGAAGCACCGGCUAACUCCGUGCCAGCAGCCGCGGUAAUACGGAGGGUGCGAGCGUUAAUCGGAAUUACUGGGCGUAAAGCGCAUGCAGGUGGUUUGUUAAGUCAGAUGUGAAAGCCCGGGGCUCAACCUCGGAAUAGCAUUUGAAACUGGCAGACUAGAGUACUGUAGAGGGGGGUAGAAUUUCAGGUGUAGCGGUGAAAUGCGUAGAGAUCUGAAGGAAUACCGGUGGCGAAGGCGGCCCCCUGGACAGAUACUGACACUCAGAUGCGAAAGCGUGGGGAGCAAACAGGAUUAGAUACCCUGGUAGUCCACGCCGUAAACGAUGUCUACUUGGAGGUUGUGGCCUUGAGCCGUGGCUUUCGGAGCUAACGCGUUAAGUAGACCGCCUGGGGAGUACGGUCGCAAGAUUAAAACUCAAAUGAAUUGACGGGGGCCCGCACAAGCGGUGGAGCAUGUGGUUUAAUUCGAUGCAACGCGAAGAACCUUACCUACUCUUGACAUCCAGAGAACUUUCCAGAGAUGGAUUGGUGCCUUCGGGAACUCUGAGACAGGUGCUGCA
rnacentral:rRNA from 1 species